UACGUAGGUGGCAAGCGUUGUUCGGAAUUACUGGGCGUAAAGCGCGUGUAGGCGGCUCUUCAAGUCAGGCGUGAAAGCCCCGGGCUCAACCUGGGAAUGGCGAUGGAUACUGGCUCGCUAGAGUGCGGUAGAGGAGAGUGGAAUUCCCGGUGUAGCAGUGAAAUGCGUAGAGAUCGGGAGGAACAUCAGUUGCGAAGGCGGCUCUCUGGACCAGCACUGACACUGAGGCACGAAAGCGUGGGGAGCGAACAGG
rnacentral:rRNA from 1 species